rnacentral:rRNA from 1 species
AGCAGCCGCGGUAAUUCCAGCUCCAAUAGCGUAUAUUAAAGUUGUUGCAGUUAAAAAGCUCGUAGUUGAAUUUCGGGAUUGACGUGAUGGUCGUGCCUUAAGGGGUAUGAACUGUCGCAGUUGAUUUCUCACCUUCUGGAGAAGCUUGAUGUCCUUAAUUGGGUGUCAUGUGGAACCAGGACCUUUACCUUGAAAAAAUUAGAGUGUUUAAAGCAGGCAUUUUGCUCGAAUACAUUAGCAUGGAAUAAUAGAAUAGGACGGCAUGGUUCUAUUUUGUUGGUUUCUAGGAUCACCGUAAUGAUUAAUAGGGAUAGUUGGGGGCAUUAGUAUUCAAUUGUCAGAGGUGAAAUUCUUGGAUUUAUUGAAGACUAACUACUGCGAAAGCAUUUGCCAAGGAUGUUUUCAUUAAUCAAGAACGAAAGUUAGGGGAUCGAAGACGAUCAGAUACCGUCGUAGUCUUAACCAUAAACUAUGCCGACUAGGAAUCAGACGAUGUUAAUUUUUAAUGUAC